CAGCAGCCACGGUAACACGAAGGGGGCUAGCGUUGCUCGGAAUGACUGGGCGUAAAGGGCGCGUAGGCGGAUCACGCAGUCAGAUGUGAAAUUCCUGGGCUUAACCUGGGGGCUGCAUUUGAGACGCGUGGUCUAGAGUGUGAAAGAGGGUCGUGGAAUUCCCAGUGUAGAGGUGAAAUUCGUAGAUAUUGGGAAGAACACCGGUGGCGAAGGCGGCGACCUGGUUCAUAACUGACGCUGAGGCGCGAUAGCGUGGGGAGCAAACAGGAUUAGAGACCCCGGUAGUCCCUGUCUCUUAUAC
rnacentral:rRNA from 1 species